UACGUAGGGUGCGAGCGUUAAUCGGAAUUACUGGGCGUAAAGCGUGCGCAGGCGGUUCGUUAAGUUCGAUGUGAAAGCCCCGGGCUCAACCUGGGAAUUGCAUUGGAAACUGGCGGGCUUGAGUGUGGCAGAGGGGGGUGGAAUUCCACGUGUAGCAGUGAAAUGCGUAGAGAUGUGGAGGAACACCGAUGGCGAAGGCAGCCCCCUGGGCUAACACUGACGCUCAGGCACGGAAGCGUGGGGAGCAAACAGG
rnacentral:rRNA from 1 species